CCCAGCCAUGACGCCCUCAAGCCGCCGAUAGCAGCGGCCCUCUCCCAAGCUACACUGCUCCUGAUCUUCGUCGCCCCACACCGUCGUACUAUGCACAGCUCAGCCUGGCCAUGAUGCUCUUAGCCCGCGGACGCUCACAGCGUAACCGACGGUGGUGACUCACUCCCAACCCGUGUUGCUCUCCAUCAGUGCUGACAGAUUAGUUUGUUUUACAGCGUGGGCACCAGGUCUCUGAGUAGUUUAAAUCUGAACGCAACACCAAGGCUGCCAGCCUGAGCAUUGCCGAACAGUACAGCAAAGCAUUUUCUGAACUUGCUAAAAGCAAACAUGGAAGCUCUCCCUAAUUCAUCGAUUAAAGGGAGGCAGGGGAGUUCCAGUUUGUGAGGACAGUGGUGACAUGGUUGACUGAAUGGCAAUAGGAAGAAGGCACAUCUCAUAUAAUUGUUUUAUUCAAGACAAGUCUACACUCUCUUAUGUCAAAUUUGAACAGAUUUCCCUGCCCUAGGCUAUUUCUAAGGGGGAGAGAAGAGUGUUAUUUUUUUGGGGAUUACAAAGAAUGGUAGCGCAUGAGGAGUAUUAGCCACGGAGGAGGGAGGAGACUGACAUGAGGAAAACAUAUUCUGGAUCGAUUUGGUUCUCAUGGUGGCAUCUUCCCUGCUUUCUCCUUUCUUUUUAUUUCCAACACUCUUUGGUACAGAGCGGUUAACAAACAACUGAACUGAAUAUUGCUUUUUCUCCUUUUCAGAUAAGUUAGUUUACAUUAGUUUUCUGUUUGCUUUCCGUAUGGAUCUAUACAUGUUAUUUUUAUAUCCAGUUUUCUGGGUGCUUUUCAAAAAGGGGGAGACCCAUGGCCGAUAUAGUUGCAUUAAGGUGCAAUUUGAUAACUAAAUACAUAAUAUAAGUCCAUCAAAAUAUUACAUGCAUGUGUGCUGUUUGUGCUUGUAUACCUUCAAUCUGCUUUGUGGAAGGCUGUUCGUAUUAAACUUUAGUGCUCGGUUGUUCAUCAUAGUCCCAUUCCCUUGAUAAUUAAUAUUGAAGCAAUGAAAAAUAGGUGAAAUUGCAAGAAACUUGAAGAAGUGGAGGAACAUGACUCAGUCUGUCAUUGGGGACAUGCACUGUUACAGAUACACUCUGUAUUUCUACCUAUCGUUGGUGUGAUGUUUGAACAUUAAGUUGUCAUUUAAUUAUGGCAUUCCCUUCUGCUUUUGUUUAUGCUAUAACAAUAGCCGCAAACUAUCUUCGGGACGUAUGGCAGGUUUGCUGACAAUCUGAUUGCAUUGCAGGUUUGGUACUAAUUUCUCAAAAAAUCAUGCUUUUGCAGCACCGUCUUGUUGAGCCAUGAGAUCUGAACCAAGGAAUCCAGAUAACAUCGACUAUGUUUAUAGAUCACUACAUGUUCCGUUGGAACAUUGUGAGGUCCUUUUUCCAGUUUGCUACUAAAUUCUCAAAAAAGAAACGUUCUUAUGCAUCACCAUCAUGUGGAACCACGAUACCUGAACCAAUGAACUCAGUGAACAUUUAUUAUAUUUAUUAUGGAUCAUUACAUGUUCUGCUGGAACAAGGUUCCUUUUCAGUAACAAGUUGAACGCGCGUCAUGCUUUUUUGAAUAUAACUGAAUAUCUAAAAUAGCCAUGGUGUACUGCUGUAUAUAUUUUAAAAUGGCAAGCUUGCAUCUU